UGGGGAAUAUUGGGCAAUGGAGGAAACUCUGACCCAGCAACGCCGCGUGAAGGAUGAAGGUCUUCGGAUUGUAAACUUCUGUUAUAUGGGAAAAAGAUGUGAUGGUACCAUAUGAGCAAGCCACGGCAAACUACGUGCCAGCAGCCGCGGUAAUACGUAGGUGGCAAGCGUUGUCCGGAAUAACUGGGCGUAAAGGGAGCGUAGGUGGCGCGCUAAGUCAACUGUGAAAGCCUGGGGCUUAACCCCAGAAGUGCAGUUGAUACUGGCGUGCUAGAGUGCAGGAGAGGUAAUGGGAAUUCCUAGUGUAGCGGUAAAAUGCGUAGAGAUUAGGAGGAACACCAGAGGCGAAGGCGCAUUACUGGACUGUAACUGACACUGAGGCUCGAAAGCGUGGGGAUCAAACA
rnacentral:rRNA from 1 species